rnacentral:misc_RNA from 1 species
GAAAAUCUUUGUACUUUCAUCAUUCUCGUGUAUAAAAAUUAUGCAGUAUGCAAUAAGUAGGUAACUUCAAUACAAGUCUUCUAUAAUUAUCCUUUACUUUCUGCAUGUAUAAAGUUUGGCUCACAGAAAGCAACAUAAAUGACCCCACAGUUGUAUAUGAUGGAAGUUAGCUCUGAGAGCCUCCACGACCUAUUGAAAAUCUUGAUCAACCAAUUUUUUUGCUUACAAUAGUUGCACCAGCCUCAGCCAUUGAACACUGCAACGAUAUACUGGCCUUAGUCAUCAAUUUAAUUUCAAAGCUGCAAACGAUGCUGCAACAUCCAUUGCCUCGUCAACCUUUGAUAUAUCAGUUGCCUGGCCUUGGGCGAGACCACCUUUUCCUCCUCCACCCUUACCUCCCAAGGGCUUCAAAGCUGCAUUCAACCAAUCUUUAACAUUCAACUGCUUGCACUUGUCACCUUUCUCAGGUACCCCAGCACAGACCAAAACUUUUUUUGCAGCUUCAUCUUUGCUAAAUACCAGAACUGCCAUACCCUUCUGCUCCAUGACUUUGACAACUGCUUCACGGACUGCAGCAGUGUCCAAACCCACGCCAAUCUGCAAGAUGCAGUAUGCUUUUCCACCAGAAGCUGCAGCUUCAGCCAUUUCUGAGGCAGCUUUGACGGCUUUUUGUAUAUUCUCAGCAGCUAUCUUCUUUUUGGCCUUUAUAACUCGAUCCUGGAGGACCGAGAGCUUGGCCUUGAGAUCAGUUUUCACAACAGUGGGAAUUUGUGCCCUCUCCACAGUAGCAUUCAAAGAAGUUACUUUCUCUUCCAGCAAGCUUUCAUCAGUCUGGGAUGCUUCAUUUACUUUCUGUUCGAGUGAGGAUGCCAAAUCAGUGGCCUCAAAAGCACGAUAAGUUGUGACAGCAGUAACCCUUCGGAUUCCCUUGGCAAUUCCCUCCUCAGACAUCAGAGCAAAUGCCUUAGCUUCUCUUGUAUUAGAAAUGUGUGUUCCACCACAGAGCUCAGCAGAGUAGGAUGACCAUUCUUCAUUUUCUGGAUUAGCAAGAAGAUCCUCCACUUUCUGACCAAUUGACACAAUCCGCACAGGAUCUGGAUACACCUCACCAAAGACAGCUCGAAGACUUUUUAUACUCUUAGCAUCAGACAGCUUUGCCUCCUUUGAGAAUACAUCCAAUUCGGACUUAAUUUGCUCAUUGACAAUGGAUUCAAUUUUUCUUAGCUCUUCCGUCUUUACUGGCUUCCCGUGAGAGAAGUCAAAUCUCAAUUUUUCAGGAAGAACAAUGGAACCUUUCUGGUCAAUAUGGUCGCCUAGUACUUCCUUUAAGGCGAAAUUUAACAUGUGAGUGCAUGUAUGAUUGGGAGCAAUCAAUGUACGCCUGUUAUAGUCAACCUUACAAAUUACUUUAUCACCAACAGAGAACUUGUGUGCCUGUCCACUGAAUGAUCCAAUAUGAAGAAUGAAUCCUCCAUAAAUUUGAACAUUACAAACUUGAAAAGAGCCACUGGGGCUUUCCAGUGAACCAGUGUCGUAUAUCUGACCACCUUGUUCAGCAUAGAAACUGGUGCUCUCAAGAAUAAUACCAACUUCAUUCCCAGCUGCUGCACUUUCCAAGAACUCAGUUCCAGUGUAGAUAGCUUUUAUCUCACUCUCAUGAUCCUGAGACCAAGUGAACUUGAAAGUAUCAUUUGUUGCAGCGACCCCUUUCUUGUGCAAUGCUGCAGUAGCGUCAGCAUCCAUGGCAAUAGCACCACUGGCAUUCUUGCUCUGAGCAUUUCUUGAUCUUUCCCUGGCAGCAUCCAUAGCAACAUUAAAACCAUCAACAUCAACAACCAAGCCUCGUUCCUCUGCCAUUAACUGGGUCAAAUCUAAUGGAAAUCCGUAAGUGUCCCACAAGACAAAUGCCUCCUGACCACUAAAUUGCUUUCCUUGAACCUCUUGAGCUGCCUUCUUAAAUUUCUCGAUUCCAUGAAGCAAUGUCCUUCCAAAGCAAGUUUCUUCAUCAGCAAUGAUAUCCCUUAUAUGUGUCUCACGCAACUUCAGCUCUGGGAAGACAUCACCCAUAACUUCUACCACCACCUUCACAAGGCUGCUGAAAAAUCCUUGUUGCGCUUUCAAAACCUCUGUACCAUAGCGCACUGCUCGACGUAGAAUGCGUCUGAGGACAUAUUCACGGCCUUCAUUCCCUGGGCAAGAACCAUCAGCAAUGGCAAAAGAGAGAGUUCGAAUGUGGUCAGCAACAACUCUAUAGGCCAUAUCAACAUUGUCCACAUCAUCAGCUCCAACUUUGCCAGAGUACGGACGAGCUCCAGUUGCCUUUUGUAUAGCAUCAAAUAUGGGUAAGAACACAUCAGUAUCAUAAUUGCUCAUCUUGUUCUGGAGGAUAGAGGUUAGUCUUUCAAAACCCAUUCCAGUAUCAACAUGCUUAGCUGGAAGAGGUUUCAAAGAACCAUCAGCUUCCCUAUUAAACUGAAUAAAGACAAGGUUCCAUAUCUCAAUCACAGUGGGAUCAUCAUUAUUAACAAAUGAUGCAGCAUCACGAUUCCCAAUUCUAUCGAAGUGUAUUUCGGUGCAGGGUCCGCAAGGUCCAGUAUCACCCAUCUCCCAAAAGUUGUCUUUGCAGUCGAAAGGCAACACCCUGCUAGGAGGAAGGAACUUAAGCCAUAGGUCUCUAGCUUCAUUAUCCGCUGGAAGGCCAGAUUUUUCAUCACCUCCAAAAUAAGUGGCAUAAAUCCGUUCACUUGGCAGUUUAUAUACCUGGGUAAGUAGUUCCCAGGCCCAUCCAAUUGCCUCCUUCUUGAAAUAAUCCCCAAAUGACCAAUUACCAAGCAUCUCAAAGAAUGUGUGAUGGUAAGUAUCCUUACCAACAUCAUCAAGAUCAUUAUGCUUGCCACCAGCACGAAUACACUUCUGUGUAUCGCAGGCACGCUUAAGUUUACUCAACGGACUAUUAGGGUCAACAAUACCCAAGAAAAUAGGCUUAAACUGAUUCAUCCCAGCAUUAGCGAAUAGAAGAGUAGGGUCAUUAUGAGGAACUACAGGACUGGAUUGAACCUCUUUAUGAUCUUUCCCUUGGAAGAAGCUGAUAAAAGUCUGCCGGACCUUAUUGGCCGGCCAAUCCAAUACUUCCGGCUGAGAACCCAUCGGCUUUGAAACAGAAAAGGUACGUGUGAAAUUAAACAGCCGUCCACUCACCGCCGGCGACGGAGGAAGCAGCAAGGCGGCGGAAGAAGGAAGUGUGGCAGCUCUGUAGUAGUAGGGUAAAGCUAAGGCAAUACAACGCCAAGUCGAGCCGUCAAUUGAAAC